rnacentral:rRNA from 1 species
GAUAAACGCUGGCGGCGCACAUAAGACAUGCAAGUUGAACGGACUUAAUCGAAAUAUUUAUAUUUUGAAGCGGUUAGUGGCGGACUGGUGAGUAACGCGUAAGGAACCUGCCUAUUAGAGGGGAAUAACAGUGAGAAAUCAUUGCUAAUACCGCAUAUGCCAUAGAUAUCACAUGAUAACAGUGGGAAAGGAGCAAUCCGCUAAUAGAUGGCCUUGCGUCUGAUUAGAUAGUUGGUGGGGUAACGGCCUACCAAGUCGACGAUCAGUAGCCGGACUGAGAGGUUGAACGGCCACAUUGGGACUGAGAUACGGCCCAGACUCCUACGGGAGGCAGCAGUCGGGAAUAUUGCGCAAUGGAGGAAACUCUGACGCAGGGACGCCGCGUAUAGGAAGAAGGUUUUCGGAUUGUAAACUAUUGUCGUUAGGGAAAAGAAAGGACAGUACCUAAGGAGGAAGCUCCGGCUAACUACGUG